CACGUAGGGGCCAAGCGUUGUCCGGAUUUAUUGGGCGUAAAGAGCUCGUAGGCGGCUCGACAAGUCGGGUGUGAAAACUCCGGGCUCAACCCGGAGACGCCACCCGAUACUGUCGUGACUGGAGUCCGGUAGGGGAGUGGGGAAUUCCUGGUGUAGCGGUGAAAUGCGCAGAUAUCAGGAAGAACACCAAUGGCGAAGGCAGCUCUCUGGGACGGUACUGACGCUGAGACGCGAAAAGCGUGGGGGAGCGAACAGG
rnacentral:rRNA from 1 species